AGAUAAUUUGCAUAUUUGAGGAACACAGCCCACUGAACUAUGCCUUCUUAUUAGACAAUCUGGACACUUUUGUAUUCAGUCCCAGACAGGACACAGGACAGUCAAGAUGGCUCCAGUACAACUUCUAGGGCUUUUGCUGCUCUGCCUCCGAGCCAUGAGAUGUGACAUCCAGAUGACCCAGUCUCCUUCACUCCUGUCAGCAUCUGUGGGAGACAGAGUCACUCUCAGCUGCAAAGCAAGUCAGAAUAUUUACAAGUACUUAAACUGGUAUCAGCAAAAGCUUGGAGAAGCUCCCAAACUCCUGAUAUAUUAUACAAACAGUUUGCAAACGGGCAUCCCAUCAAGGUUCAGUGGCAGUGGAUCUGGUACUGAUUUCACACUUACCAUCAGCAGCCUGCAGCCUGAAGAUGUUGCCAUAUAUUUCUGCUUUCAGUACAGCAGUGGGCCCCACGGUGAUACAAACCAUAACAUAAACCACCCAGAGAUGCAGAUGUGUGAGGUUGGGUUUUCACAGCUGUUUUUUUUUUUUUUUUUUUGGUUCUUUCUAUUACUGACAUAAUGUUUCAGAUGUAGC